AUUGAACGCUGGCGGCAUGCCUUACACAUGCAAGUCGAACGGUAACAGGUCUUCGGACGCUGACGAGUGGCGAACGGGUGAGUAAUACAUCGGAACGUGCCCAGUCGUGGGGGAUAACUACUCGAAAGAGUAGCUAAUACCGCAUACGAUCUGAGGAUGAAAGCGGGGGACCUUCGGGCCUCGCGCGAUUGGAGCGGCCGAUGGCAGAUUAGGUAGUUGGUGGAUAAAAGCUUACCAAGCCGACGAUCUGUAGCUGGUCUGAGAGGACGACCAGCCACACUGGGACUGAGACACGGCCCAGACUCCUACGGGAGGCAGCAGUGGGGAAUUUUGGACAAUGGGCGAGAGCCUGAUCCAGCAAUGCCGCGUGCAGGAUGAAGGCCUUCGGGUUGUAAACUGCUUUUGUACGGAACGAAAAAGCUUCUCCUAAUACGAGAGGCCCAUGACGGUACCGUAAGAAUAAGCACCGGCUAACUACGUGCCAGCAGCCGCCGUAAAAC
rnacentral:rRNA from 1 species